ACUUUGGUUGGUGGAGGCUGUGGCAAUGGAACAGGCUUGAGAAACAGGAAUGGUAGUGCUAUUGGCCUUCCAGUCCCACCUAUCACAGCCUUAAUCACCCCAGGUCCUGUUCGUCAUUGCCAAAUUCCUGACUUGCCUGUGGAUGGGAGCCUACUCUUUGAAUUCCUUUUUUUCAUCUACCUGUUGGUUGCUCUUUUCAUUCAGUACAUCAACAUUUAUAAAACAGUGUGGUGGUAUCCUUACAAUCAUCCUGCUUCUUGUACAUCACUGAAUUUUCAUCUCAUUGAUUAUCAUCUGGCAGCAUUCAUCACAGUGAUGCUUGCGAGGAGGCUUGUAUGGGCUCUCAUCUCAGAGGCUACUAAGGCAGGUGCAGCAUCAAUGAUUCACUACAUGGUUCUGAUAUCAGCUCGCUUGGUACUACUCACUUUGUGUGGAUGGGUACUUUGUUGGACCCUCGUCAAUCUCUUUCGAAGCCAUUCAGUCCUCAAUCUCCUUUUCCUUGGCUACCCGUGAGUACUCCAGUUUUACCAUGUUAUUAGUAAAUCUUUAGAAAUUAUUUCGGUCACGUAAACGAUACUUUUAAGAGUGAAAAAUGAAAUUCUUCAAAUAUAAAUGAAGCAUUUAGAAAACUGGGAAAUCCAUGAGCAUGGUGAACAUAUAAUUUGUUUUCUAAACUGGAGUACAGUUGGGACAACAGGCAUAAACCAGGACUGUCCUGGGAAACCUGGAAUGUAGGGUGUGUUGCCAGUGGAGAAUAUUUUAAUUGUCUCUCUUCACCAAGUAAAGGCCCCUCUUGCUAUCUAUAUUUGGGUAAACGGUAGUUAAUUUUAGAUGAAUGCACUGGUUCGAAAACCAGUCUUACCCUUGGUUGGUCAUAUUACUUUG
rnacentral:lncRNA from 1 species